AAGCUGGUAUAAAGCUUAAUGGUAUUUCUCCCAGCGACAUGUAAAUGGAGUCAUCAUCACCAAGAUUCCCCUCUCCAUUAUGAAGACUCAUCUCAUUCUGCAGUGGAUUGAUGUCCUCUCUUACUGAAUUACAGUUUGAAAAAGUGUUGAGAAACUCCGAAAUCAUAAGACCAUCAUAGCUAUCUGGAACCUCACUUAUAUCUCCAGCAUUCUGUGCAUUAUUGGGAAACCCUUCUGUGCCAGUAAAUGUUGUUUCCUUUCGCUGUGAAUUAUCAAAAGCCUUAUCUUCUAAGCUGGAAUCAUUCUCCAAAUCAAUGACUUCAAUAUUUCGUUUGCCAUUAUUUGCAUUGCUUAUUGACAAAUCAAUGUCAACCCGUGCUGCUUCCUCUUUGAUUGCUGGCAUAGACGGGUACACAAGUACUGGGUCAUUACAAUGAUAAUCAUUCAUAUCAGCAGCUUCCAUUAAAUUGAGGUCACAGAUCUUAAACGAACUCGGAAAAAGUUGUUUCUCUUGUGCAUAAUCAGCACUUGGUUCACCACCUGACUUUGGAAAUUGAUGACUAUUCACCAAGUUGUCUCGAGUGACAGCAACAAUCAUUGGAUGAUCAGGUGAUGCGUUCCCUGCUUGUGAACUAUCUUGAUUUUGACUUAAAUUAGAGAGA
rnacentral:misc_RNA from 1 species